UAGGGAAUCUUCGGCAAUGGGGGGAACCCUGACCGAGCAACGCCGCGUGAGUGAAGAAGGUUUUCGGAUCGUAAAGCUCUGUUGUUAAGGAAGAACGAGUGUGAGAAUGGAAAGUUCAUGCUGUGACGGUACUUAACCAGAAAGGGACGGCUAACUACGUGCCAGCAGCCGCGGUAAUACGUAGGUCCCGAGCGUUGUCCGGAUUUAUUGGGCGUAAAGCGAGCGCAGGCGGUUAGAAAAGUCUGAAGUGAAAGGCAGUGGCUCAACCAUAGUAGGCUUUGGAAACUGUUUAACUUGAGUGCAGGAAGGGAGAGUGGAAUUCCAUGUGUAGCCGUGAAAUGCGUAGAUAUAUGGAGGAACACCGGUGGCGAAAGCGGCUCUCUGGUCUGUAACUGACGCUGAGGCUCGAAAGCGUGGGGAGCGAACAGG
rnacentral:rRNA from 1 species